CCCGCUGAGUUUAAGCAUAUAAAUAAGCGGAGGAUAAGAAACUUACAAGGAUUCCCCUAGUAACAGCGAGCGAACCGGGAGUAGCCCAGCUUGAGAAUCGGGCGGCUGUGCCGUCCGAAUUGUAGUCUGUAGAGGCGUCCUUAGCGACGGACCGGGCCCAAGUCCCCUGGAAAGGGGCGCCUGGGAGGGUGAGAGCCCCGUCCGGCCCGGACCCUAUCGCCCCACGAGGCGCCGUCAACGAGUCGGGUUGUUUGGGAAUGCAGCCCAAAUCGGGCAGUAGACUCCGUCCAAGGCUAAAUAUAGGCGAGAGACCAAUAGCGAAAAAGUACCGCGAGGUAAAGAUGAAAAGGACUUUGAAAACAGAGUUAAAGAGUGCUUGAAAUUGCCGGGAGGGAAGCAGAUGGGGGUCGGCGAUGCGCCCCGACCGUAUGUGGAACGGCUCUUGUUGGUCCGCCGCUCGGCUCGGGGUGUGGACUAUUGUCGGCCGCGCCGGCGGCCAAAGCCUGGGGGCCCUAGGUGCCCCCGGUGGCCGUCAUCGGCAUGUCCGGUACCCGCGCGCCGAAAGGCGUGUCCCUCGAGGCACUGCGCUACAACGGCUUGCGGGCUCCCCAUCUAACCCGUCUUGAAACACGGACCAAGGAGUCUGACAUGCGUGCGAGUCGACGGGUUCUGAAACCUGGGAUGCGCAAGGAAGCUGACGAGCGGGAGGCCCUCACGGGCCGCACCGCUGGCCGACCCUGAUCUUCUGUGAAGAGUUCGAGUUGGAGCACGCCUGUCGGGACCCGAAAGAUGGUGAACUAUGCCUGAGCGGAGCGAAGCCAGAGGAAACUCUGGUGGAGAUUCAAAGCGAUACUGACGUGAAAAUCGUUCGUCUGACUUGGGUAUAGGGGCGAAAGACUAAUCGAACCAUCUAGUAGCUGGUUCCCUCCGAAGUUUCCCUCAGGAUAGCUGGAGCCCAUUACGAGUUCUGUCAGGUAAAGCCAAUGAUUAGAGGCAUUGGGGACGCAACGUCCUCGACCUAUUCUCAUGCUUUAAAUAGGUAGGAUGGCGCGGCUGCUUCAGUGAGCCGUGCCACGGAAUCGGGUGCUCCAAGUGGGCCAUUUUUGGUAAGCAGAACUGGCGAUGCGGGAUGAACCGGAAGCCGGGUUACGGUCCCCAACUGCGCGCUAACCUAGAACCCACAAAGGGUGUUGGUCGAUUAAGACAGCAGGACGGUGGUCAUGGAAGUCGAAAUCCGCUAAGGAGUGUGUAACAACUCACCUGUCGAGUCAACUAGCCCCGAAAAUGGAUGGCGCUGAAGCGCGCGACCCACACCCGACCAUCUAGGCGAGUGCCAUGCCCCAAUGAGUAGGAGGGCGCGGUGGCCGCUGCAAAACCCAGGGCGCGAGCCCGGGCGGAGCGGCCGUCGGUGCAGAUCUUGGUGGUAGUAGCAAAUAUUCAAAUGAGAACUUUGAAGGCCGAAGAGGAGAAAGGUUCCAUGUGAACGGCACUUGCACAUGGGUAAGCCGAUCCUAAUGGACGGGGUAACCCCGGCAGAUAGCGCGAUCACGCGCAUCCCCCGAAAGGGAAUCGGGUUAAUAUUUCCCGAGCCGGGAUGUGGUGGUUGACGGCGACGUUAGGAAGUCCGGAGACACCGGUGGGGGCCUCGGGAAGAGUUAUCUUUUCUGCUUAACGGCCUGCCAACCCUGGAAACGGUUCAGCCGGAGGUAGGGUCCAGUGGCCGGAAGAGCACCUCAUGUCGCGCGGUGUCCGGUGCGCCCCCGGCGGCCCAUGAAAAUCUGGAGGACCGAGUAUCGUUCACGCCUGGUCGUACUCAUAACCGCAUCAGGUCUCCAAGGUGAACAACCUCUGGCC
rnacentral:ncRNA from 1 species